AUGUCAAGAAGCAGAAAAGAGGAAUAUGAAGAAGAGAAUGGAAAGACUGACGAUGUAUAUUGCGACCUAGAUUGGGGCAAACCAGAAAAACUGAGUAAUCUUCAUCUCAGGGGGAAUCGCGUAGCCUUGAUGCGAAAUCACUACGAAGCUUUAACCUCGUUAAAGGACCAACUCAAAGGGACCCAUUACACGCUCGGAGCAUUAUACAAACAGAUCAGGCAACAAUUACUGAAUGAUUAUUUCCUGUUGAAGGAAGGCGACAGAUUUCUGAAAGCAGCGAACGCUAUUGAAUUAUUCUGGCCAACGGGAAGGUAUUUUUUUAACAAGGAGAAAACUUUUCUUGUCGAGUGCAAAACGAAAAAGAAUCACUCGCGUCUGAUAUCGACGGUACGAGACGGUAACCUCGUGGCGAUGUACGAGAGACUCGUUAAAGUGGUCCAAGAAAUCGAGAAGAAAUUGGAAUUCCUGCGGCACCGGAGACUCGGCUUCCUUACAUUCUGCUCUCUAUACGAAUGUUGGCGCAGCCAUCCGAAGCUCAGUGCACGUUCACCUGCCAAAAUUGAGCGCGGAUUAUCAAGGAUCCGAAGAGGAUCGGCCAUGCACGGUCUUCAGUACUCAUCGUUUCGCGACGUCCCUCGGCGUCCACCGAUGCAUCUUCCUCUGUAACAGUACCCGGGAGUGGUCCACGAGCCUUUCUACGUUGUUUCUCGUUGAUUGCACUUUAUAUAAUUCACUCGCGACGCGAAAUCCGCAAAAUUGCAAUUUCAACCGAUUUUAUAAUUCACUUAUUCGCAGACGUAAUAAUUAACGAGCACUUAUCAUAAAGUAAAAUGUGCGAGUCUGAUUAAAGAGUUCUAUAAGUCUCCAAUAAACUUUACUUCUUAGAUCCCUUCAUACACGAUGCACUCACGACACGAAAUCUGCAAUUAAAUUAAAAAAUUUAUUUAUAUAUGGAAUAUUUAUAAUGCAAUAUUAUAUAAUAAUUAUAAUUUUAAAUAAUAAUUUAUUGUAGGA